UCCAUUGUAGUCUAGGUGGUUAGGAUACUUGGAUCUCACCCAAGGGACCCGGGUUCAAGUCCCGACAAUGGAA
rnacentral:tRNA from 1 species